rnacentral:rRNA from 1 species
AAGCCAUGCAUGUCUAAGUAUAAGCAAUCUAUACGGUGAAACUGCGAAUGGCUCAUUAAAUCAGUUAUCGUUUAUUUGAUAGUACCUUACUACUUGGAUAACCGUGGUAAUUCUAGAGCUAAUACAUGCUAAAAACCUCGACUUCGGAAGGGGUGUAUUUAUUAGAUAAAAACCAAUGCCCUUCGGGGCUCCUUGGUGAUUCAUAAUAGCUUAACGAAUCGCAUGGCCUUGUGCCGGCGAUGGUUCAUUCAAAUUUCUGCCCUAUCAACUUUCGAUGGUAGAGUAGUGGUCUACCAUGGUUU